rnacentral:SRP_RNA from 2 species
GCUGGGCAUGGUGGCGCAUGCCUGUAAUCCCAGCUACUCGGGAGGCUGAGGCACGAGAAUCACUUGAACCCAGGAGGUGGAGGUUGCAGUGAGCUAAGAUCACACCACUGCACUCCAGCCUGGGCGACAGAGUGAGACUCUGUCUCAA